UACGGAGGGUGCAAGCGUUAUCCGGAUUCACUGGGUUUAAAGGGUGCGUAGGUGGGCAGGUAAGUCAGUGGUGAAAUCUCCGGGCUUAACUCGGAAACUGCCAUUGAUACUAUCUGUCUUGAAUACCGUGGAGGUUAGCGGAAUAUGUCAUGUAGCGGUGAAAUGCUUAGAUAUGACAUAGAACACCAAUUGCGAAGGCAGCUGGCUACACGAAUAUUGACACUGAUGCACGGAAGCGUGGGGAUCAAACAGG
rnacentral:rRNA from 1 species